rnacentral:rRNA from 1 species
AGGCAAUAACAGGUCUGUGAUGCCCUUAGAUGUUUUGGGCCGCACGCGCGCUACACUGAUCAAGUCAACGAGUUUACAACCUUGGCCGGAAGGUCUGGGUAAUCUUUUGAAACUUGAUCGUGCUGGGGAUAGUCCAUUGCAAUUAUUGGACUUCAACGAGGAAUUCCUAGUAAGCGUGAGUCAUCAGCUCGCGUUGAUUACGUCCCUGCCCUUUGUACACACCGCCCGUCGCUACUACCGAUUGAAUGGCUUAGUGAGGCUUUCGGAUUGGACUUUGGCAGCUGGCAACAGCAGCUAAGGACUA